GCAGUUCCCUCCCCUCUGCAGUGUGUGGGCAAGUGGAACCCCUGGUUUGGUACAUAAAGGGGUGCACGUCCAGCUCUCACCAUACAGCCCCACACAGCCCCCAGCAGGACUCCCCAGGUCGCAGAGCUGGUGCACACGCGUGUGCCGGGCAGCCACGGCGGGGUUUUCUCCCCCUGGCACCGGGAGGGAGAGGAGCUGGAGGAGGAUGCCAGAGCAGCUGAGUUCUCCCAUCCCUGAGCACAAGCGCUACGGAGGAUUAGCCAUCUCCCGCGGUGCCUGUUCUCCCGCCCACCUCCCUCAGCAGCGAGGAGAUGACAGCUGAGGGAAGAGAGCAGAGCACUCGAGGCGUGCAGGGGAGAGAUGGCUGAAGACAGACCGACCUUUCUGCAGCAGCAGCGCAGCAGGACGUGUGUUGGUAGUUCGAUCAGAAGGGAAAGGCACAGCCUGGCACGAUGUCAGGAAAGGAUUAAAACACUCAUCUGGCUGGGGACCUGAUUUAUCUACUGGACUAACAGCACAGCUGCACAAUGGAGGAAACGGUCCUGCAGAGUCCUGGGGCUGCUGUUGCCCAAACACAGCUUUGGCAAGAGGGCAGCUGCUAAGCUGGGCUUAAGCUGCUCUAGAAGCAACAGAAUAAAGAUUGUUUUGGACUGAGUGUCACAGAUGGUCACUGAUAAGUGACUCGUGUAACCACAGGCUCCUCCUCGCUGCUCAGGGGUUGCUGCAACCACACCAUAGGAUCUGACCUACAGGUGGCUGGAUGAAAAAGUGAUUCCCUGGUUUCUUCUGUUCCAGAAUAAAAUAAAUUAUGGGAAAUCUUGUGAGU